GCUGGCGUAGCUCAGUUGGUAGAGCAAAUCUUUCGUAAAGAUUAGGUCGUGUGUUCGAAUCACACCGCCAGCUCCA
rnacentral:tRNA from 1 species